UGUGACAUACCUUAAUGUUGCCUCGGCGGAUCAGCCCGCGCCCCGUAAAACGGGACGGCCCGCCAGAGGACCCAAACUCUAAUGUUUCUUAUUGUAACUUCUGAGUAAAACAAACAAAUAAAUCAAAACUUUCAACAACGGAUCUCUUGGUUCUGGCAUCGAUGAAGAACGCAGCAAAAUGCGAUAAGUAAUGUGAAUUGCAGAAUUCAGUGAAUCAUCGAAUCUUUGAACGCACAUUGCGCCCGCUGGUAUUCCGGCGGGCAUGCCUGUUCGAGCGUCAUUUCAACCCUCAAGCCCCCGGGUUUGGUGUUGGGGAUCGGCUCUGCCUCACGGCGGUGCCGCCCCCGAAAUACAUUGGCGGUCUCGCUGCAGCCUCCAUUGCGUAGUAGCUAACACCUCGCAACUGGAACGCGGCGCGGCCAUGCCGUAAAACCCCAACUUCUGAAUGUUGACCUCGGAUCAGGUAGGAAUACCCGCUGAACUUAAGCAUAUCAAU
rnacentral:rRNA from 1 species